GUAUUGGUGGUUCAGUGGUAGGGUUCUGGCUUUCCAUGCAGGAGACCUAGGUUUGAUUUCUAGCCAGUGCA
rnacentral:tRNA from 1 species